CAAGUCGAACGAUGAAGCUUCUAGCUUGCUAGAAGUGGAUUAGUGGCGCACGGGUGAGUAAGGUAUAGUUAAUCUGCCCUACACAAGAGGACAACAGUUGGAAACGACUGCUAAUACUCUAUACUCCUGCUUAACACAAGUUGAGUAGGGAAAGUUUUUCGGUGUAGGAUGAGACUAUAUAGUAUCAGCUAGUUGGUAAGGUAAUGGCUUACCAAGGCUAUGACGCUUAACUGGUCUGAGAGGAUGAUCAGUCACACUGGAACUGAGACACGGUCCAGACUCCUACGGGAGGCAGCAGUAGGGAAUAUUGCGCAAUGGGGGAAACCCUGACGCAGCAACGCCGCGUGGAGGAUGACACUUUUCGGAGCGUAAACUCCUUUUCUUAGGGAAGAAUUCUGACGGUACCUAAGGAAUAAGCACCGGCUAACUCCGUGCCAGCAGCCGCGGUAAUACGGAGGGUGCAAGCGUUACUCGGAAUCACUGGGCGUAAAGGGCGCGUAGGCGGAUUAUCAAGUCUCUUGUGAAAUCUAAUGGCUUAACCAUUAAACUGCUUGGGAAACUGAUAGUCUAGAGUGAGGGAGAGGCAGAUGGAAUUGGUGGUGUAGGGGUAAAAUCCGUAGAUAUCACCAAGAAUACCCAUUGCGAAGGCGAUCUGCUGGAACUCAACUGACGCUAAGGUGCGAAAGCGUGGGGAGCAAACAGGAUUAGAUACCCUGGUAGUCCACGCCCUAAACGAUGUACACUAGUUGUUGGGGUGCUAGUCAUCUCAGUAAUGCAGCUAACGCAUUAAGUGUACCGCCUGGGGAGUACGGUCGCAAGAUUAAAACUCAAAGGAAUAGACGGGGACCCGCACAAGCGGUGGAGCAUGUGGUUUAAUUCGAAGAUACGCGAAGAACCUUACCUGGGCUUGAUAUCCUAAGAACCUUAUAGAGAUAUGAGGGUGCUAGCUUGCUAGAACUUAGAGACAGGUGCUGCACGGCUGUCGUCAGCUCGUGUCGUGAGAUGUUGGGUUAAGUCCCGCAACGAGCGCAACCCACGUAUUUAGUUGCUAACGGUUCGGCCGAGCACUCUAAAUAGACUGCCUUCGUAAGGAGGAGGAAGGUGUGGACGACGUCAAGUCAUCAUGGCCCUUAUGCCCAGGGCGACACACGUGCUACAAUGGCAUAUACAAUGAGACGCAAUACCGCGAGGUGGAGCAAAUCUAUAAAAUAUGUCCCAGUUCGGAUUGUUCUCUGCAACUCGAGAGCAUGAAGCCGGAAUCGCUAGUAAUCGUAGAUCAGCCAUGCUACGGUGAAUACGUUCCCGGGUCUUGUACUCACCGCCCGUCACACCAUGGGAGUUGAUUUCACUCGAAGCCGGAAUACUAAACUAG
rnacentral:rRNA from 1 species